AGCGAACGCUGGCGGCAGGCCUAACACAUGCAAGUCGAGCGCCGUAGCAAUACGGAGCGGCAGACGGGUGAGUAACGCGUGGGAACGUGCCCUUUGGUUCGGAAUAACUCAGGGAAACUUGAGCUAAUACCGGAUACGUCCGAAAGGAGAAAGAUUUAUCGCCGAAGGAUCGGCCCGCGUAAGAUUAGCUAGUUGGUGAGGUAACGGCUCACCAAGGCUAUGAUCUUUAGCUGGUCUGAGAGGACGAUCAGCCACACUGGGACUGAGACACGGCCCAGACUCCUACGGGAGGCAGCAGUGGGGAAUAUUGGACAAUGGGCGCAAGCCUGAUCCAGCCAUGCCGCGUGAGUGAUGAAGGCCUUAGGGUUGUAAAGCUCUUUUGGCAGGGACGAUAAUGACUGUACCUGCAGAAUAAGCCCCGGCCAACUUCGUGCCAGCAGCCGCGGUAAUACGAAGGGGGCUAGCGUUGCUCGGAAUCACUGGGCGUAAAGCGCACGUAGGCGGGUCGUUAAGUCGGGGGUGAAAUCCUGGAGCUCAACUCCAGAACUGCCUUCGAUACUGGCGAUCUUGGAGUCCGGGAGAGGUGGGUGGAACUG
rnacentral:rRNA from 1 species